rnacentral:lncRNA from 1 species
GGUAGUGCAAAGCCAGCAUCCUUUUUGUUUGGCACUAUAAAACAAUGAUAUCUUGAUGCUGAAGCAUUAUAUUAUUGUUUAAAUGAUACUAGCAUAGAUGCAGCUUAGUUGCCAAUUUGUCACUUGUGAAGAUCUUCACAUGUCGUAGUUUCGUAACAGGGGAUAUAACACAUGUGGAUUUUUUAACAUGUCGUAGUUGAUGACAGGGCAUAUGGUGAACUGACCACUUGUCUCUGUACAUAUUCUUUCACCCGGAGACCAUCGGUUGGUUUAUGAUAGCUUAUGCAAAAUGUAUGUUCACAGAUUUUAUCCUAGGCUUAUACCAUGUACCAAAAAAUAGAGCUAGAGUAUGACUAUCUAAAUUUGCUGUUCAUGUCCAGUGCUGAAGCACAAAAUAGAAGGGUGCAGAUGAGGAGGCGGGGGCUGACGACAGCCACGGGAGGAGGUCAGGGUGGUUGAAGAAUAAGGCACGGGCGGCUCCGGCAAGACGUGUCUCCAGUGGAUGUCCACGAUGAGGCAAUGAGAAGACCCUCUCUGUGAGCCCUAUCCCUCUCAUUUGGCCUCUCGAUUUAUGGUUCUCAUGCUCCCUGUUUCUGUGUUCUUUGUUUGUGGUGAUCACUAAUCAGUCUCGUCUUCGGCACCUGGAUCCUCGUCAUCGAUCUUUCCCACCCGGACGAACGCACCAUGGCCUCUCAGAUCACACACAAGACUAAUCCAUGGCUGAGUAACAUCACCCUCUUUCUUUUUUUCUCUUCAUUCUUCCAUGUUCCUCUUUUAAGUAGUCUCUCCUUGGACUACUCUACAAGGUGUCAAUUUGUACUAUUUUUUCUUGUUGCCUUAUACAAUCUGUCAAUCAUACACUUUUGACCUCUAUGUACGUGUUGGCUGAUUCAUUUUUGCAAUACAAAAGACGAUGAUGCCAUGACAGACCAAUCUUGCAAUUUCACCAUCCAUUUGAUGUCUCCGCUCUUAAGAUAAGGUAAUAUUAGCUGGAUCCGUGCUACUUCCUCCAAUAACAGUAUAUGAUUGGCAUGUGUGUAUUACAGAUCUGACACACAUAUGUUUGGAAAUGGAGACGGUUUCGUCUUGUUCUGUGUCUUUGUCAUCCGGCAAGUGUCUAGAUUUCUUUUAAUUUCUUGAGUAUUACUUUUAAAAGUCGAAGUGCAGUGUGAUGCCAGUGAGGAGGUUAGCUCUUUUGCUCUUCACGAGCUUCUGUUGAUAUUUGACUAGCAUGGUACUAUCUGAUUUGGCACUACCAUUUUUGUUGACUUAUAUACGGCCAUGUUUUUCCUUGUAAAAAACAUCCAAGCCACUGUAACAUGUUUCGUAAGCAAGACCUUAAAUCGUGUUUCCGGAUCUGUCUCAACAAGGAUAUGAAAGAAUUACCAUCACUGUAGCUGGAUAUCAUACAUGAUAUUGUGGAUAUAUACUUGCUAUGGUUUUUCCAUUAUAAGGUAUAACUGUCGCAGCUAUAACGGGCUAUUGUUGAUUUGUUAUUGUCCCUUGUUUGUCUCACAGUUUAGUCCUUCCACUGUGAAGCAGACCAAAAUUGUCAUACAUGAACAAUUACUAUAUAUGUGCUAUGUACUUCCUGCAAAUCCCACACCACUAAUUUCCGCUAAAACCACACUACUAAUUGAUAUUGUAUAGAAUAUACGAGGGCAAAUUUCACUAGGUUGUUCAUUGACUAGAUCGUCCUAGUUAUCAUACUAUACUGAGCGGUUGAAUUAUCGUAUUGAUUGGAGCAAGGUGAGUAUAGCGGCGAGAUCUUAAAAAGUGGUUCUUAGUGGUGUACAUGUUGUAGGUGAUCAAUUUGGUCUGGUUGAAUUUUUCUUUUAUCUUUGUGAUUGCUUUUCUCAAAAUCGAUUAAAAAAUAAUGAUGCAUAUUCAUUUCUGACAUUUGAUGCCUAGAUGUUUGAUUAUAGAGCGGACAAGUCAAUGUUAUUCUUUGGAAGUUCCAAAGUCAAACUACUUACAUCAUUGUUUCUACAUUAUAUUUGUUUCUCUAUGAAAACAUAAUUGUGAUGUAAGAAUUCUUAUGGAUCAAUGCACAUAACAGUUAUGCAGCAAACCUUUCUCUAUAAAGUUCAAAUUAUAUACAUUGAAGAUUCUGAAGUGGGUCAGGUUUUGUAUAUGUUUGCUAAUAUAGAUCGACUUUAGUAUUUUGUAUGGUUUAUAAUAUAAUUUAUGGAUCAAUAUUUUUGCAUAAAGCUCCCCUUUGGACUGUAGUUUUCUUCUGCUGCAGUUGUGUUGGUUGCCCAACAUAAAAGCUCUAAGAUUUGGCACAUGUUUUAAUGCUAAUAUUUUAAGCUGUCGAUAGUUAUACUUCAUGUGCUUUGAUGAGCAAAUGAUAUUUUCAUGCAGAAGUCAAUAUUAUCUGCAAUUUAAAAGUGUCUUAUAUUUGCAUAUAAAUUAUUUGAUGUCACAAUAUGAGCAUUUAGGCUCUUAUCUGAUAUAUUUACAUACCCUCCUCCUUUUAGCUCUCGUUCUGAAAUAAAAGUGAAUUAUUAUUGGAAAUACACCAGAUUCUUCCCAUAUGGCAAUGGUAGUUCUAGGAUUAGUUCUUAAGUGCUUGCGACUUAUUACCGAGUACUUCUACUUAAUAUUUCUUAUUAUUUGUUGUCAAAUAGGCGUAAAUGCACCAUAUUUAUUUUUGUUAAUAAUCAUCAACUUGAUAUUAGAGCUUGGUCGUCUCAGUUUAUAUUAGAGCUUUCUCACGUGGUGCAUCAGUAUAAUAAGUUUAUAAAAAAUUGCAUGUAUGUGCUAUCUAGAUCCAUAAAGGAAAUUGAAGGGGCGUUCCCCUACCUGGCACUGCCCAAUACAAUCUCUGAAUAUGUUGCAUUUGCACUGCUCUAUACUCUCUUGUAAAAUAUAAUUUGUACUAUGAAGUACACAAACUGACAUAUGCUCUCUUGUAAAAUACAUAUUGAACCUGAGCCAAUGACUUACCCUCAGAGGCCUAGAGAAACUAUUUGUGAUGUAUGUUGUGAAGACCGUAUUUUGCAAGUUUAUUGAAAGAUGCAAGUUUCACCAUCCAGUUGAUUGGUCUGCACCUGAUUGCAUUGCAAAAUGGAAGGAGAGAGAGGUAACAUCAAGAAAUAAUCCCACUAAAUUUGUUGCCAAUUCAUGAUAUAAAUGGUUUUUCUAUAAUGUUUUCCCUAUUUUAUUUUUCCAAAUCAUUCUCACUUUGUUACCUAUACAUGAUGGCCCUAAUUUUCCUUUUCAGUUCAGACCCCGUUCCAAAUAUGAUCGAAAUGAUUGCAAUACUAAUUAUGAUUUGCAAACCGAAUAUUGAAGUAAUAACUAUAACUCUACACUCUACAGUAAGGUGUGCAGAGUAAAAAAUGGUCUAAAUAAAUGAAGAGAACCCCUGUACAAGCAACUUUUGAUGAACGCUAAUCGAAUCAUUCUUGUGAAAUCUGUAGAGUGUUUCUGUUGUUUCUUUCUGUAGGCAUAUUUUUUGUACCGAGUUAUUUUGGUGUAUGUCCAAUCUUGUAUUUCCAGUUGAGGCAUACAAUCGAAAUUCAUAAUGUAUUGCAAUAUGGCUGGUGUUGGGAUAGUAUGUGGAUUUGAUUCAGUUUCUUAGUGUCAUUCUAGAUUAGCGAUUUAAUCUCCCAAAGAUGUUGAACAAUUUCAUGCAAAUGGUGCCCAUCAACGCUGCUACCCUUGGAAAAUUGCCAUGAUAUGGAUUGACGACCACGGGGCGUGUUUAUUGCCUCUACCGGAGAGCGGGAGGACGCAGACCAGGGCCAACCCAAGUUGGAUGACGAGGUGUCAUCGAAGGCGGAGGAGAGGUCCGACGUGAGCAGUGAUAUGGUGGGGUUUAGCAAGGUCAAUAAGGUGACCCGCAGGGCUUGGCAAGAAGGUGAGACAUGGCCGCAGGAGCGGAGCACAUCUUCAGAAGGAUGAACAGGCAUGGCGACGGCAUGCACCUGGUUGCGACCUCAAUUUUAAAAUACUCAUCGGGUCUUUCGUUCCAGCAGUCAUGAUAUAGCUUGAGCGUUUGUCCCAUCGACGAAGACUACUUACUAUACGCGUUUUCGAGUUGCAUUUAGUGCUCUUUUUCGUCGCCAGCUAAAUCAAUCAAUUUGACAAGAUCUUGCAACUCUCUCCGUUUGGAUUUCGAGUCCAAAAGGCGAAGCUUGAGUACUUUGAAGAGCAUUUAAGAACAGCUCAUAAGCAAUUCCAAGUGGCAGAGAUGACUCGAGGGACCUCGCCCAACUAUGAACCGUACGAGCACAUCCUCUGUCACCCCCACCGCGCUUACGGCUCUAUACCCCUGUGAGGUGCCCAUAGCUUCCUGGAAAGAAGAAGAUUUGGCCCAAUAGUCCCUCCAAUUUGAAGUGAUCAAGCCACCACAGGCCAGUUCAGGCUUCUGAAUUUGUGGUUUUGAUCAAUGGCAAACAUGUACAUAGAUGUAGCAGAAUUCACUAGACACGGUUACCAGUUGUGGAUUCAUUACAAUAUAUUUUAUCUUAAUAAAUAUAUUUGAUGUUCGUUCGUGUAGCCUUUGGUUUUUAUAUAUUGAUUCAGUGUUGUACCUACGCUAACAAUUCAUACAGGUGAUAGAUACGUAGCAUUUCUAGCUGAAAAGGAAGGGAAACAAGCUUGCCAUUAAUUAAUGUAGUAAUUUGACUAGGCAAUGGUUCGUGGAAGGGAUUAAGAUGAGCAGACAAUAUGGCAGCUCAGAGUAACUAUCCCAGGGCGGUUGAUAACCAGGCAGCACAGAGGAAUUGUCUCAUGACAGCAUGUUUGAGUAAGUUUUUUCAUAGUUUUCUCAAACACUUGUCUACCAUUAUUUUAGAAGAGUGUUGAUUAUGUUACCUCCUGUUCUUAAAAUCCUGAGAAUCAUUCCUGGUCUUAAUACUUCAUUCCAUUUACUUGUUUUGGGUUUGCUAUGGGUGUUGGAGGAGAUAGAUUGGGCAGAACUACAACCUGAGGUUGUGCAGGUUUAGGGAUACCUCUUGCCAAGGUUAUAUCAUUUAAAGUUUGGCGAAAGACAAAAAUAUAUAAUAGGUAAAUAAAGCUCAAUUCAUCACCGAAAUAAUUAUGAAUAUCAAUGUAGUAAAGCUAUGAUAUAUGUUGUCAAUAACAUUUUAUAAUUCUUUGGUAACAUCACCGAAACUAUUGAUUUAUCUUCUCUAAUUUAUUACAGUUCGCUUUGUUUUAGAUUGGGUGUUAAUAGAAAAAGUUCAUUAUUUGCAUCAGCUAUAAGUUUACAUUAUGCAAAUGACAGUAACAAAAAUAGUAUGACACAAAUUCAGGUGAUGACCAACCAAGGAGAGGAUGUUGAUGAGAUCAAUGACACCAGAGGGACAGACAGGCAGCUGCGAAGCAUCCGACAGAACAGCCGGUGAACAGGAGGAGCAAAGGAAGCAUCUCUUGCGUCACUCUAAACAUCUGCUGCUUGCAGAGCUUCAGCCGGUGAACAGGAGGAGCUUCAGCUCCGUUGUCGUGAACUUCAACGGUUGGCCGAGCUUCAACCUCUUGCCCCUCAAGUGUACAGUUGGUUCUACGCCAAAUAGGUUUCACAAUUUUCUGUUGUUAUUUGUACAAUAUAGUGUUUAAUCUGGUUGUGAAUAAUCCGCCACCUAAGGGGAUCAAGGUCUCUAAAAUAUUGUUGUUUGUUCAAAUGUUCUUUGUUUUGUUAUUAAUUGUCAAUUGUAUUGCAAAUUCCUUGCUUAUAUGUGCAUGUUCAUCAGCAAUUAAAGAAAAAA